AUCCAGAUGACGAGUCCCAAAUAAGACGAAAUGCAUAUCCUGGAU
rfam:Trichobilharzia regenti genome assembly, scaffold: TRE_scaffold0010947